ensembl:snRNA U6 U6 spliceosomal RNA
GUACUCACUUCUGCAGUACAUACAUAUACAAGAAUUGGAAUGAUACAGAGAUUAGCAUGGCCUCUGUGCAAGGAUGACAUGCAAGUUUGUGAAGCAGCCCAUAUUUAA